CAUUUGCGUUAGGGAUAGAAACGACAUCCUUUUUGCUUUUGGCAAAAAGAUAUAGUGUAAAGCCCGACCUUGG
rnacentral:sRNA from 1 species